rnacentral:rRNA from 1 species
ACGAACGCUGGCGGCGUGCCUAAUACAUGCAAGUCGAACGGUCUUUCUAUGGAAGCUUGCUUCCACUGAGAAGAUAGUGGCGAACGGGUGAGUAACACGUGGGUAACCUGCCCAUAAGAGGGGGAUAACAUCCGGAAACGGGUGCUAAUACCGCAUAGUUUUCUUGAUCGCAUGAUCGGGAAAGGAAAGACGGCCUUUGUGCUGUCGCUUAUGGAUGGACCCGCGGCGUAUUAGUUAGUUGGUGAGGUAACGGCUCACCAAGACGAUGAUACGUAGCCGACCUGAGAGGGUGAUCGGCCACAUUGGGACUGAGACACGGCCCAAACUCCUACGGGAGGCAGCAGUAGGGAAUCUUCCGCAAUGGACGAAAGUCUGACGGAGCAACGCCGCGUGAGUGAAGAAGGUUUUCGGAAUCGUAAAACUCUGUUGUCAGAGAAGAACAAGUUGGAGAGUAACUGCUCCAGCCUUGACGGUAUCUGACCAGAAAGCCACGGCUAACUACGUGCCAGCAGCUGC